UACGUAGGGGGCAAGCGUUGUCCGGAAUUAUUGGGCGUAAAGAGCGUGUAGGCGGUCCGGUAAGUCAGCUGUGAAAGUCAAGGGCUCAACCCUUGAAAGCCGGUUGAUACUGUCGGGCUAGAGUCCGGAAGAGGCGAGUGGAAUUCCCGGUGUAGCGGUGGAAUGCGCAGAUAUCAGGAGGAACACCGGUGGCGAAGGCGGUUCUCUGGGCCGAAACUGACGCUGAGGAGCGAAAGCGUGGGGAGCAAACAGG
rnacentral:rRNA from 1 species